GACGAACCGUGCGAACGUUGUUCGGAAUCACUGGGCUUAAAGGGCGCGUAGGCGGGCAAGCAAGUCGAAGGUGAAAUCCCACAGCUUAACUGUGGAAGUGCCCCCGAUACUGCUUGUCUGGAGGGAGAUAGGGGCGUGCGGAACUUCCGGUGGAGCGGUGAAAUGCGUAGAUAUCGGAAGGAACACCGGUGGCGAAAGCGGCACGCUGGACGGCUAACUGACGCUGAGGCGCGAAGGCCAGGGGAGCAAAGCGGG
rnacentral:rRNA from 1 species